rnacentral:misc_RNA from 1 species
CGCAAACGAUCAUUCCAAAGGAUUUACUAAGGUUUGCUGUGUUUCAUAGCAAGAGCAUUGCAAAAAUCUGGCGGGGUUAGCUAUGCUGUGCGCACUCUUCCGUUUGCAUAGGUGCUGGUGAUGAAUGCGGAUCGCCGUGUCUGCAUCAGCCCCAGGUUCAAGAAGGAGACCGGAUGAAAACCCUAACAAAAGGUGCUUCGCUUUUCUUUUGCGUUGUUCUCUGUGCGAUGUCGGGCUUGGCCCAGCAGGCGGCCCCGGCCCCGAUGCAGCAGCGGUCAAUCGCUGUCGUCAACAAAGUUCAGCUCGUCAUCGAAGGCAAGGUCAUCAACGUGCAUGAUGGCGACACUGUCACGGUACUCGACAAGAACAACAAGAAAACCCACAUCCGUUUG